rnacentral:rRNA from 1 species
GACGAACGCUGGCGGCGCGCUUAACACAUGCAAGUCGAACGGAAAGGCCUGCUUUCCUUUGUGGAUUGCGGGUACUCGAGUGGCGAACGGGUGAGUAACACGUGAGUGAUCUGCCCCCAACUUGGGUAUAAGCCUGGGAAACUGGGUCUAAUUCCCGAUAGGACUGCAGGGUGGUGCCUGUGGUGGAAAACGAUUUUCUAGUGGUUGGGGAUGAGCUCGCGGCCUAUCAGCUUGUUGGUGGGGUAAUGGCCUACCAAGGCGGCGACGGGUAGCCGGCCUGAGAGGGUGGACGGCCACAUUGGGACUGGGAUACGGCCCAGACGCCUACGGGAGGCAGCAGUGGGGAAUAUUGCACAAUGGGCGGAAGCCUGAUGCAGCGACGCCGCGUGGGGGAUGACGGCCUUCGGGUUGUAAACUCCUUUCGACCGCGAGGAAGCCACCUGGUUGGAAGGGUGGUGACGGUAGUGGUAGAAGAAGCACCGGCUAACUACGUG